GACGUAGGGCGCGAGCGUUGUCCGGAUUUAUUGGGCGUAAAGAGCUCGUAGGCGGCUUGUUGCGUCGACCGUGAAAACCCGCGGCUUAACUGUGGGCUUGCGGUCGAUACGGGCGGGCUGGAGUUCGGUAGGGGAGACUGGAAUUCCUGGUGUAGCGGUGAAAUGCGCAGAUAUCAGGAGGAACACCGGUGGCGAAGGCGGGAUCCUGGGCCAGUACUGACGCUGAGGAGCGAAAGCGUGGGGAGCAAACAGG
rnacentral:rRNA from 1 species